rnacentral:rRNA from 1 species
UACGUAGGGGGCUAGCGUUGUCCGGAAUCAUUGGGCGUAAAGAGCGUGUAGGCGGCCAGGUAGGUCCGUUGUGAAAACUCGAGGCUCAACCUCGAGACGCCGAUGGAAACCAUCUGGCUAGAGUCCGGAAGAGGAGAGUGGAAUUCCCGGUGUAGCGGUGAAAUGCGCAGAUAUCAGGAGGAACACCGGUGGCGAAGGCGGGUCUCUGGGCCGAAAUUGACGCUGAGGAGCGAAAGCGUGGGGAGCAAACAGG